UGCUGUCAUGUCAAGCAUCUUUCUAGAUCUUCAGGGUCUCAGGAAUGUGCAGCAGCUUCCAGCUUCCUGGUCAUUAACUGCAUUUGCUCCUACCAGAUUUCUCCUUUGCCAAGAACCCUCUCCAGGCCAGGUCCUAAAGCAGGAAGAGGACUCAUGCACUUUCACAGCCAUAGCAGGAAGAAAACUAUACAUAGAUAAAUACACACCACACACAUGAAGGUGAGUGCCAGUGGGAGGGGUCUUGGUAGAAUAAGUCACAUUUGAGUCACAUCUAAGUCACUCUGAAGCCUGAGUAGGAGCCUGCCACAUUGCCCAAGGCAGGGCAGGAAAUUCAAGCAGGCAGAAGUAAGGGAUGAACAAAGACAAGGCUAGCAGUUACAGAUCAGGAAGGUAAACCAGCAGAGUUUCCGGAAAGGGAGAAAGGAAGUCACAUUUGAGUGCUAGAGAGAUUUUUCUGGUGGUAGGGGAGGAGAAUGUGUGAGGAAAGCAGUUAAUGAUUUCUUGUCCAGGUGAGAAGUUUAGGCCUUCUGCUCCAUUAUGGUGGAGUCAAGACUUUGCUUUCUUCACUUCUGGGCCAUGUCCAAAGCUGCACCUUCUACUUCCUGUGUCCUCUCCCCUCCUCUUGGCAUGGUCAGUUCUCCUUCUUUCUUUGAGUUUUAAAAUUAAUGUGUGAGCCGGGCAUGUAGGCGCACCAUAGUAAUUCCAGCUACUUGGAGGCUGAGGCAGGAGAAUUGCAAGUUUGAGGCCAACCUGGGCAAUUUAGAUGGUGUCUCAAAAGCUAAAAAGGAUUGGGUAUGUAGCUUAGUGGCAAUAUCGCUGGUUACCAGUGAUGAGUUCUGCUUCCUCACAUUUUGAAAUAUAACAUUAAAGAAGCAUGCAGAGGCAAGCAUAUAAAGCAGAAUUUAUUGUAAAAAGGGGUAACAGACUUUUCCCAGCAGGGAGAAGGGGGCCAUAGCUGAUACCUUAGUAUCCAAGAAGCCAGGGUGUUUUGCCUUUUUAUAUGUCCUAGGCUUCCUUUGUUCUCUUGCUCUUUUCCCUUUAUCUCUCUCCUUCCUGCAUAGGUGACUAGACCCAGGAGAUGCUCAGUGGGAUGGCCAAAAAGUGAAAAGCUGAUGGAUGGGGGAAGGGCCAGAUGGAGCAGCUCAGGACACAUUAAUUAACAACUUUAUAACUCCCUGUAGGGAGAGACAAUUCCUGGGACAGGUUACCUUAGUAACAAGUUGGAGCAGGGGCUGAUAAGGGUGAUAAAGGUGGAGGAAGGGCUCUGGAGGCAUUUUAGUCCCUCAGGGGGCAGUCUCCGACUUCCAGGACUCACUCAAAUUAUCUAUACUGAGUGCCUGUCUAAUUCUGACUUCAGUGGUCGAGUUCUUCUGAGUUCAAUUCCUAGUACCACACACAUGCACACAAAAUAAUAAAAUAAAAAGCUACGUGGGGGUGCUGGAGUUGUGGCUCAAUGGUAGAGUACUUGCCCCACAUGCGUGAGGCCCUGGGUUGGAUCCUCAGCACCACAUAAAAAUAAAUAAAUAGAUAGAUAGAUAAAGAUGUUGUGUCCAUCUACAACGAAAAAAAUAUUUUAAAAAACUAUCUGGGGAGGUAGCUCAGUCUUGCCUGGCUUGUGGGAUGUCUAAGGUUCAAUCCCUAGUGCCACAAAAUAAGUUAGGUGUGACCUCACUUAGAAAAACUCACUGACCUCUCAGAUGGCCCCUGUCAUUCUCAAGCUGAGUAAGGAACCGGUAUUCUGGGCUCCAGAAUGCUUUGUGCCUUUUCCUGUCUCUGAAUCAAUUCCAUGGCUCUAGGAUUGUGUUUUGGUUUCUUUACCAUUAUAAUAUGAUUUUUCACUGGGCAGGGGCCAGAUCUCACUAAUCUUUUUGUUGUUGUUAUUGUUGUUUGUUUUGUACUGAGAAUUGAAUCCCAACUCCCUAUCCCUUUUUAUUUUUUUAUUUUGAAAGAGGAGCUAAGUUGUUUAGGGCCUCUCUAAGUUGUUGAGACUGACUUUGAACUUGCAGUCCUUCUGCCUCAGCCUCCUAAGUCACUGAGAUUACAGGCCAUGUGCCCGUGCCCAGUUCUUUGUGUCUUCAACACCUAGCAGAGAAAGUCUGACACCAAGAAGAUAAGUAGCAAAUAACUGUGACUGGAUGAGUAAAGAAUAGAUGAAAAUUUGAGAGAGAUUUUGGGGGUUGAAUUAGAAUUGCUUGGCAAGAGAUUGGGCAGGACUGGUGACAGGGUGGUGUCUAAAAUGAUCCCAGGUUUUCUGGUUUGGGUGCAGGGGAUAUUUACACUGUUUUUACUCAUAAUUCUUCUAAUGCUGAGUGUAUAGGAUUUGCAGACUAAUUGCCCAGUUCUCAGACACCAACUGAGUAUCCAACAGUUCAGUUUAAUUCUGAUACUUUCUACCUAGAGUUAGAGUCAGAUCCCACCAGUUAAAAAGGUCUGUCCCACAAGACAGCCUUCAUUUCAGACACAGGUGACCAGUCUCAUGUUGACAUCUAUAUUUCUGACCAGCCAGCUAUAUAAAUCCCUGGGUUCCCUUGACCAUCCUUCUUCACAUUCAAAAAUGUGCUGGAAUGGCUUACAAGACUCAGGGAAACAUUUUAGUCAUACUUAUGAGUUUAAAUGUAUAAGGAUAUAACGCAGGAAUAGCCAGGUGGAAGAGAUGCAUAAGGCAAGGUAUUAGGCAUUCAGGGCUUCUCUGUCAUUUCAAGGCACAGCACCUUCAUAGCACUUCAGUGUGUUCAUCAACCAAAUAGCUCUUUUGAACCUUAUCAUAUAGUUCCCCCAGACCCUCUACUGGGGUGCUCUACCACUGUACUACAUCCCCAGCCCUUUUUAUUUUUUAUUUUGAGACAGGGUCUCACCAAGUUUUGAAGGCUGCCCUCAAACUUGAAAUCCUCCUGUGUUAGCCUCCUGAAUUCCUGGGAUUAUAGGCAGGUACCUCUGCACCCCUGAUAUUAUAUAUGGGUUUUAAUGGAGGUUUCAUUAUGUAGACAUGAUUGAUCAAAGUACUGGCUAUUGAUGAUUAAUUCAACCUUUAGCCCUUUUCCCCUUUUGGAAGCUGGGAGAUAGGGCAGAAAGUUCCAAGUCUUUGUCAAGGCUGGCUCUUGCUUGUGGCUAGCCCCAACCUGAAACUAUGAAGAACCCCCAACCACCAGUCAUCUCAUUUGCAUGCAAAAGACACUUUCCUCAUUCCUGAGAUUCCCAGGGUUUUAGGAGCUUACAUUUAUCACUGGAGGUGGUAGUGCCAUUAAACUAGGUGACAGAUAAGAAGAACAGAUAUGAGAAAAAAGACUAUUUCCUUCAGCUACCUUGUAGUGAAACAAAACAAUAAUCACUGUUUCUGGUUCACUGGGAUGGCAUCCUCAUCUCCACUCUUGGACUGAGCUGACAACCCCCAAAUACCUACAGGACUUGGCUUUUACUAACCAAUUCCCAAUUCUCUUCCAUGUGUUUACAGUCUUGUGGUUUUCAGUGUUCUGCAGAAUGCCUCCUUCUGAACUUCCACUAAUUAGUGUCUUUGGUUUGUCCACUUAUCUAGGGAUCUUUCAAUUACUAAAAAGAGGUCUCUCACCUCUACCCAUAUCUCAGGCAGCUUUGUGAACAUUUUCUCAUGUGAUCCAUUUUCUAUAUUCAGAAGAACUACAGAAUAUAGGUCAAGGCUCUUUCAUGCAUAUAACUGAAAGCCUGGAAUGCACAGGUAUAACCCAAAAGGGAGUUUAUUGGCUCACCAAACUGAAAAUUCCAGAGAAUAGACUUAACUUAAGGCAUGCUUCCAUUUAGGGAUAUAAAUGCUGUCAGGCCCUGAUUUUCACUCCUGAUGACUCAGGGUCACUUCUUAUCUCUCAACUUUAUUCUCAGGAGGUUCUUCCCAUGCAGUGCAAGGGGGGUCAGGGGGCUGCAGUUACCAUAGACUGUUCCUUUUAUGCUUAAAUCAAGCCAAAAAGAGUAAGCCUUUUAUCUAUCUGUGCCUGCAACAAUAGUCCAGAGAGUUGCUCUGAUGUGGUUGGUAGGAUUGUUUGUUGGCCUCUGAAUGAUCUCUAGAUCAGGGACUGCUGCAGGCCUGGGUGGGGCUGGGGCAUGGAUAAACCACAGAUAUUCACUAACUUGCUGAAAUCCUCCCCUCCCAGGAGGUGGAGCUCAGAUAUUGCCAACAAAAUUGACAGGACUACAAGUAUGUGCCACCAUGCUGGGCUCCUAUAUCUUUGCUACUUGAAGUCAUCAAAGUUUCAGUGAGUCUGGUACAUUGCAACAUUAUUGGGGGGGGGGGGGUUAACCCUGGAGUGCUCUAGCACUGAACUACAUCCCCAACCUUUCUUAUCUUAUUUUGAGAUGGUCUUACUAAAUUGCCUAGGCUGGCCUCAAACUUUUGGUCCUCCUGUCUCAGCCUCCCCAAAUGCUGGGAUUACAGGCCUGCACCACCUUGCCUGGCUCUCUUUUAGAUACUUCUAUAUUGCCUGAAAAUAUGGUACCACUGAGUCAUGACUCUAAGUCAUGAUUCUAAGACAGAAGUGAUAUCCUUGCUUUUUCUGUGUGGAACCAAAGGACUAAUCACGUCCUGCUGGCUGAGUCAAGACUAUCUACAUGCCUUCAAGGCACAGGCCCUUUUUGUUUCCCUCCACCCCACCCACCCCAACCCAGUACUGGGGAUUGAACCCUCUAGUGUUCUACUUCUGUUCUACUUCUCCCGCCCUUUUUAUAAAUUUUAUUUUGAGAUGGGAUCUUGCUGGCCUUGAACUCGGCACCCUCCUGUCUCAAUCUCCUGAGAAGCUGGAAUUAUAUGCAUGUGCCACUGCUCCCAGCUCUUUUAGCUAUUUAAUAACUAAUCUCUGGGGAAAUGCAGGUGAGGGGGAAAAAAAUCCCAAAUAUGGAAAGGUUGUAGAGUCAAUAAAUCUCUUAAUUAUAGCUUUAAUCCUUAAAUAGUUUACAAUUAUUUUUCUUAAUAAAACCUAGAAGCCUAAUUUAUUAAUUUGUUAUCUCAUCUAACACGCAUAAAGGCCCAGUGUUAGUUCUCUAGAAGCUCACAGACUCACUGAAAAUUUGAUGACUUCAAGUAGCAAAGAUAUAGAAGCCCAGCAUGGUGGCACAUACUUGUAAUCCUGUUGAUUCAGGAGGCUGAGGCAGGAGGAUUGCAAGUUCAAGCCCAGUCUCAAAAGUUUGAGACCCUGUCUCAAAAUAAAAAGGACUGGGGAUAUUGCUCAGUGGUAAAGCACCCCUGGGUUCAAUCCCUGGUACCAAACAAACAAAAAACAAAGAUGUAGAGGUAAAGCUUUGGCAGGAAAGAAUCCCCCUUUGCACUAGAAGCUUGCUCAAGCUAUGUACUCAGCACUGCUCUAUUCCCUAGAAGCCUCUGAAAAGCAGUUUCCCAGCCAGCACACCAGGGUUGAAAUACUCUUUCUUCACACCAGGAGCACACUACUACAUUGCAAAUGGGAGGGUUUGAUGUUCAUGGUAGCAUAAACUUUAUGAAGGGCAAUUUGGCAAUAACUAAUAAAAGUGUGCCACUCUUUUGUCUUUUAGAACUGUUUCCUUGCACAUGUAGGAAAUAACGUUUUUUUAGGUGGUAUUAGAGAUUUAGCUCUGAGCUGUACCUUCAGUUCCUUUUUAUAAAACUCUGAGACAGGGUCUCCCUAAAUUUCCCAGGCGGAACUACAACUUGUGGUCCUUUUGGCACGUCACUGGGAUUACAGGUGUGUGCCUCUGCCUAGCUGAGCAUCUUUGGCAUGAAAUUUUGUUGUUAUUGAGAGAUGCUUAACCUAUCAUAAACGCUCAUUCCCUUGCUAUUCCCCCUAUGAAAAGCUUUGAUCUUUCACAGACUAGAUUUUGGUCCAGGAUAGGUCCUGUGUCUCAGAACGUGACAGUUACUUGGUUGGUUCUCUCUGCUGAUAGCUGAAACACUCCAGUGUCUCCACCUGUGUUGCUCACCACUGUAGCUAUUUGAGGUUAAAUUUGUUCCUUGCUCAGGGCUGUACCAGUUCUCAGCUCUUCUUCCUGCUCCAGUAGGGAAAGUCCCUUUACAUGCUUAAAACUGAAACCAAAGUAUAACAGCCAGUUGGCCACCACAAAGGCGGGUCCCCACAACCAUCAUGUCUCCACCCACUCUAGGUUCCUAUCGGUACCUCUUAAAUCUUUAAAUCCUCAUAGUUGGCCUUCUUCCUAAGAAAUUCCAGGCCCUGGCGGCUCCAGGAAUCCAGCUCCUGGCAGUUUCUAAAUCUAGAUAAAUUUUUCCUCCAGAGAGGGAUUUUUGUCCCCUGCCCCCCCCCCAUGCUUUUCUUUUAUGAUUCACAUUUUAAAUUUAGCCAAGAAUUGCAGAAGGAUUUUAAAAGGUGAAAGAAAGCCAGUAGGUGAUCUUAUCUUUCUCCAAAGAGGAGGAUUGAGGAGGCAUCUUCCUGACUUCUCUGGAAACCCUUAAGUUAAGGAUGCAAGUGUUCUUAAGGACCACAGAAGUAAAACAAAUGACUGUAGCCACUUGGAGUGAGAUAAUGGCAGUGGAAGUGUGGGUAUGAUGGAGGUGAGGUUGUAAGGACUGAGGGAUGGUCCACAUAUACCAAGACCCUCUGCCCCAACCUAUAUUGGAACCUGGGAUUUUUUUGUGUGGUGAGAAGAGGCACAUGAAAUUUUGUUGUGAAAUUCCACACAUCUUUAUUUAUUUUUGGUUCUGUGGGUUAAACCUAGGGUCUCCCACAUGCUACCAUCGAACUACUGCCCCCAGUUAUCUUUUUUAUUUUUCUCAGACUACAUUUUUUAUUAUAUACCUCCAAUUAUCUUUAAAAUGUUGUUUUGAGUUUUUUGUUGGUACCAGGGAUUGAACCUAGAGCCACUUAACCCCUGAGCUACAUCUCUAGCCCUUUUUUGUAUUUUAUUUAGAGUCAGGGUCUCACUUAGGGCCUCACUAAGUUGCUGAGGCUGGCUUUGAACUUGCAGUCCUCCUGUCUUAGCCUCCUGAGUAACUGAGAUUGCAGGUGUGCACCACCACACUUGGCAGUCUUUAAUAAAGCAUUGUGAGUUCAGGAAUAGGUCUGCACUUCUGCUAGUUUUCUCCUACCUGCCCCUCAGUCUGCAACCUUCAGUCUGCUGGACUGCCCGUGUAACCAAAGGCUAUUUGAUCUCUAUGGCUGGAUUUAAAUGGUUUUAAUAUUUGAAUAUUUUAUUAAAUUUAUGAAAUAUUUUGCUUGAAUUUAUAGAACUGCAUUUGUUUUGCUUAUACUUAACUCAUUUCAAAAAAAAUGGUAAUAAUUUUAAAAAUUGUGGUAAAAGAUGCCUAAUAUAAAAUUUACCAUUUCAACCACUUCUAAGAGUAUAGUUCAGAAGCACUAAAUAGAUUCACAUUCUUAUGCAACCAUAUCACUAUCCAUCUCCAGAAUUCUUUCAUUUCCUCCAAUUGAAACUCUAUACCCAUUAAACAAUAAUUCCACAUUCUACCUCUAGCUAUAUCCCCACCACAUCCAACUAGGGUGCUGCUGUAUGACUAGCUCCUAGCAACUACCACUGUACUUUGUAUUCUAUGAAUGUGCCUAGUCUACUUACCUCAAGUAAGUGGAAUUCUAUAAUAUGUGUUUUUUUAAAAAAAAACAGGAAAAAAUAACACAAAAUUUAUUACAUACCUAAGGCAUGGAGUAUUUGAUUCCAAUAUUUCCUUUUUUUUUUUUUUCUUUUUGUACUGUGAAUUGAACUCAGGGUCACUUUACCACUGAGCUGCAUCCUUGGCCCUUUCUAGUUUUUAUUUUGAUACAGGACCUCACAAAGUUGCUGAGGCUGGCUCAAACUUGCCAUCUUCCUGCCUCAGCCUUCUAAGUAGCUGGGAUUACGCAAGUACACCAUCACACCUGGCAUUUUUCACUGUAUUUUUAAAUUUUUAAAAUUUUUUAAGUGUAUAUGGACACAAUACUUCUUUUUCUAUUUAUUUAUUUUUAGGCAAGCACUCUCCCUCUGAGCUCUACCACCCCAGCCCUUCACUUUUUUUUUUUUUUUUGGUGCUGGGAAUCCAACUCAGGGCCUUAUGUAUGCAAGGCAAGCACUCUACCAACUAAGCUAUAGCCUCCAGCCCUUUCACUGUAUUUUUUUUUUUAAAGAGAAAGAGAAUUUUUUAAUUUGGUGGACACAACAUCUUUAUUUUAUUUUUAUAUGGUGUUGAGGAUCGAACCCAGUGCCCCACGCAUGCCAGGCGAGCACGCUACCGCUUGAGCCACAUCCCUAGCCUUGUAUUUUUAAUAUUAUAUAUUGACAAGACCAUUGUUCAAACUAAGUCAAAAGGUAGUAGAGAAGUAAUGUGCUGUAGUUCCAACUAACCAACCAAUGGGUCAGCCUCCCUCCCACCCCCUUCCAUGGUCCAGGCAUCUUCCCCAGUAGCAGCCCUCCUGCCUCCAGAAGUUAGAGCCUGGUUUCUGCCUCUAUCCACAGGAUAACACUGUCAGCAGAGCCAGCAGCCUUGGGUACAAAGCAGUGAGGACCUCCAGAGAGUCUCUGGGGAGCCAUAUCUUACCUUCUUUAUAACUUGCUUCUUAGUAACCCUGGCCAGCUUUGAAAUGGCUGGAAGCACAGCCCCUGCUAUGGAGAUCAGACAAAUAAGCUUCCUCCCACAGAUGAGAAGAUGUUCUGUCACACUAAAGUACCUAGGUGGGCUCACAGCUAUCAGAAUUGUUGUUAGAAAAAGGAGUCCACAGUUUAGUGAACCUAAAACUCAACCUCUGAUUUUGGGUUGAUGCUUCCAAACUCUAGACUUGACUCAAAACUCAAAAAUUUAAGCCAGAGGCUGGCAAAUGAUGGCCUGUACCAGGUCAAAUGUGGCCUGCUACCUGUUUUUGUUUAUAGUAUUGUGAUUGAACCCAGGGAUACUCUCCCAGAGUUGUUGUACCCCCAGCACUUUUUAUUUUUUUUUUAUUUUGAAACAGAGUGUUACUAAACUGCCAAGACUGGUCUCAAACUUGCAAUUCUUCUCUCAGUUUCCCCAGUUGUUAGGAUUAUAGACUCCCAGCUGUACCUCUUUUUGUAGGACUUGUGAAGUUAGAAUGGUUUUUACAUUUAAAGUGAUUGAAAAAAAUUAAAGGAAGAAUUAUACUGGAGGACUUGUAAUAUUUAUAUGUAAAUCAAUAGUGUUCAUAGGGAGCUGGAGAUAUAGCUUAGUUGAUAGAGUGCUUGCCUCGCAUGCACAAGGCCCUGGGUUCAAUCCCCAGCACCACAAAAAAAAAAAAAAAAAAAAAAAGUGUAAUGUUUAUAAAUAAAGGUUUAUUAGAAAACAGCCAGGCUUGUCCAAUUGUGUAUUAUUAGUCUGUGGCUGUUUGUCACAGUCUAUAAAUCCUAGCCUCCAUUCCCAUACUUCCUUCCACACAGACCAACUUUAGAGAAAUGUGGAAGCCAGCACAUUUCCUUUGGCUCUACUUCCGAACACCCUGUGUUAACUACUACCACUACCACCACUCGCCACCAUCCUUUUCACUACCAUCACUACUGCCACAAUCACUACCACAACCAUCACCACCAAGAUCACCUUGAAACUCCACUUAUCUGUAGAAGACUUAGUUGAAGAAAGGAGGCAACUAAUAACUAAAGAUAAUUAACAUUGGUCAUGUCUCAGAAUAACUAAGAGAGUCACCAGUAUAUCUUAUGGAUCUAAGGGAGGCCAGAGAUCUCUGCCAGGAACAUCCCCUCUAUUCAAGGUUGCUGGUGUGUCCUCAGCUCCACAAACUAGAAACUCUUUGUGGACUCCGAUACUGUGGUGUAAAUAUACUCCAACAGUUAUAGAAUGUUGUUUUUUAGCAUAUAACCCAAUGGGAUGAUCUCUUAAGUCUCUUUCAGAAUGUAAGUACUCAGUUCAAUUCUUAUGUCAGGACCUUCUUCUUCUGGGUUCACUUUUUUCUUUUUUCUUCUUUUUGGUGCUGUGUAUUAAACCCGGAGCUUUAGGCCUGCUAAGCAAGAACUCUACCACUGAAAUAUACCUCCAGCUCAAGUCAUCUUUAUAAGAAACUCCAAGAUAAAACAUUUAUUUCUGAUUUUAAUACCAAGAAGAGUUGUCCUAGUCCAUUUUCUGCUGCUAUGACAGAAUACCACAGACUGGGUGACAACCAACGCUACAAGUUCAUUUGUCUUAUGAUUCUGGAGGUUAGGAAGUCCAACAGCACUGUGUGGAAAUUUGUGCUUUGUCAUAAUCUGGCAAAAGGGCCAGCAAGCAUGUAUAAGCCAGGGAGAGGGUAAGAAGGAGAUAUACUAACCCACGCCCACAAUAAUGACAUUAAUCCAUUCAUGAAAGCAGAGGCUUCUUGAUCCAAUCUCUCAUAGAUUUUUUUUGACCUCAAUAUUAUGAUGGCAAUUAAAUUUCAAUAUAAGUUUUGGAGGGAACAUUCUAAGAUUUAAGAAUCUGUCUUCAUCUCACAGAUAGGUGAAUCAUGCAUGUAGCAAAGCAGAUAUUCCUUUUAACAGAGGCUGUUAAGCUGUUUGGAACCAGAUAAUAUGGCCCAGCUCUGGUAAACGUUGAGUUCUUUAGGCUCUGAAGUUUUGAGCCCCAUUCUGGCUUGACACUACUUUAUUUUGCCUCAGUCUUAAUUUCUGUCUUUGUUGUGGUUUGGAUAUGAGGUAUCCCCCAAAACCUCCUGUGUUAAUGCAGGAAUGUAUGGAAGUGAAUUUGAAUUGUGAGAAUUGUAACCUAAUUGUACUCAUUUGAAUGGACUGAGUGGUAACUGUAGGCUGUUGGGGCAUAGCUGGAGAAGGUGGGUCACUAGAAACACUCCCUGAGAGGGCUGUUCUUUCCUGAGACCCCUUCUCCCCACUCUCUCUGCUUUGGAACUGCUGUGAGCUAAGCAUCUCCCGCACCCCUACUGUGCUCUUCAACCAUGAUGUGCUGCUUCUAUGGACUGAGACCUCUGAAACUAUAAGCCCCAAAUAAACUUUUCUUCCUCUAAGUUGUUCUUGUCUGGUAUUUUGGUCACAGUGAUGCAAAAGGUGAUUAACAACAGUCUUGUUAUGACCUAUAAACUGGGGCUGGGGGUGUAGCUCAAUGGUGAAAAGCUUGCUGAGUGUGCUUAAGGC
rnacentral:lncRNA from 1 species